rnacentral:rRNA from 1 species
GCUAAGAUCAUCACUCUUAGGAACGAUAUUAUGAAUUUUAAACAACUUGAGCAUGAGCAUGUUGCCCAAUCUUGGGAAAGAAUGAAAUUGAUGCUUCGCAAUUGCCCUACUCAUGGUUUGAAUUUAUGGAUGAUCAUACAAAAAUUUUAUGCCGGAUUAAAUUUUGCUUCUAGAAAUCUUUUAGAUUCGGCCGCGGGAGGCACGUUUAUGGAAAUUACGUUAGGAGAUGCUACAAAAUUGCUUGAUAAUAUUAUGGCUAAUUAUUCUCAAUGGCACACCGAAAGAUCUUCUAGUAAAAAGUGCAUGCUAUAG